UACGUAGGGGGCGAGCGUUGUCCGGAAUUAUUGGGCGUAAAGCGCGCGCAGGCGGUUUUUUAAGUCUGAUGUAUAAGUUCAAGGCUCAACCUUGGGACGCAUUGGAAACUGGGGGACUGGAGUGUAGGAGAGGAAAGUGGAAUUCCACGUGUAGCGGUGAAAUGCGUAGAGAUGUGGAGGAACACCAGUGGCGAAGGCGACACACUGGGCCAUUACUGACGCUGAGGCGCGAAAGCGUGGGGAGCAAACAGG
rnacentral:rRNA from 1 species